AGGCUUUGUAAAUCAUAUGUCACUGGAAAUAGUAGAAAUUUGCCAAAGUAGUGUGUUAAUUAACUUUCAGUCUAUUUGGCCAAUUUCUACUUUUUCCAGCGACUCCUACAUCUACAUCUACGU
rnacentral:precursor_RNA from 16 species